CCCAGCUGUGGGAUGCUGUUGGCGCCUUGGUGCCAGCCGCUGAGCUUAUCAGCGACUGAGCUGGCCGUGUUUAGGAGGACGGGGUGAUGCCACUGACACUGAGGGAGGCGUGAAGCCUGAGACGCGCCUGUGAGACCGGGACCGGUGGGGCCGGCGCGCGCCCAGAUUCCAGCUCUGCCCCAGGAGCCUGAAGCCCCCAGCAACCUGCAGUGUGGGCUCUGAGAAACUCGGUGAAACAGGGCUUCCCUGCAGGUGGCCAGCGGAUGGGACAAUCAGGGCAGACUUGGAGGUCUCUGAAGUCUUGGAAAGUCUGAAGGGCAGGCCAGCCUGGGAGAUGGAGGACACACUGGAGUGGCAGGUGCCUCGGGCGGCCGGCUGAGCACCAAAGAGGGACUUCUCACACACAGGUCCGCUUGGUCUCCUACACGCUUGCCCACGCGCUCCGUGGAUGCAGGAGCCGUGGUUAUCCUUGGCAGAAGGUUGAGUAGCACCUGCCUUGCCAGGGACCUGCUCCAAGCAGGCACGUCUGGUGAAUGCUGUGCCAGGCCCUUCCGGGAGCAGCCCCUCCCCGGGUGCCGGGGUCACCUGGCUCUGCCUGCCUGCAUGUGGAUCCCUGCGGGGCAGCGGGCACCCGGAUGACGUGGUUUUCCCUCACUGGAUUGGAGUGGAGUGAAUUUAACCCCCUCGUGGCUGCCAUCAUUUUCACUGUGAGGGAAGAG
rnacentral:lncRNA from 1 species